UGGGGAAUAUUGCACAAUGGGCGCAAGCCUGAUGCAGCCAUGCCGCGUGUAUGAAGAAGGCCUUCGGGUUGUAAAGUACUUUCAGCGGGGAGGAAGGGAGUAAAGUUAAUACCUUUGCUCAUUGACGUUACCCGCAGAAGAAGCACCGGCUAACUCCGUGCCAGCAGCCGCGGUAAUACGGAGGGUGCAAGCGUUAAUCGGAAUUACUGGGCGUAAAGCGCACGCAGGCGGUUUGUUAAGUCAGAUGUGAAAUCCUCGGGCUCAACCUGGGAACUGCAUCUGAUACUGGCAAGCUUGAGUCUCGUAGAGGGGGGUAGAAUUCCAGGUGUAGCGGUGAAAUGCGUAGAGAUCUGGAGGAAUACCGGUGGCGAAGGCGGCCCCCUGUACGAAGACUGACGCUCAGGUGCGAAAGCGUGGGGAGCAAACAGG
rnacentral:rRNA from 1 species